rnacentral:lncRNA from 1 species
UUUGCUUUCCUUUUCACUUGUUCCUGGCCGAGCCUUCUAGCUUUUCAUACUUAGCUGAAAACAUUUAAAUUAAGCAAGGAUGAGCAUUUGAGUGCCCAGCAAGUAUUAUAUAUAUAUAAGCUGAAAGAAUUUAAAUGUUUUCUUUAUAAUAUUCUUCUACAACCAGUCAGUAGUUGUGAAGUAAUCUGUACCAAUAAUAAUAGCAUAACAACCCUCGUUCAAGUUUUUGAAACUGUGUAUUGUCUAUUUAUAAGGUUUCUGUGACAUAUCAUGAACAUUGUUUUCAUUUUCGAAAAGAUUAAACAGAAAUUCAUCUGUAAACCGGUAUUGCUUACGGGCCUGAGGGUGUACAGUCCAUGGGCCCUGUAUUGAUCAAUACUACAUUGCUAGAACGAUAUUAUCGUUCAUCCUUUGUCCGCCGUAGCGCAUAAAAAUUUUCCCAUUAUCGGGAUGUUCAUUUCUGUCGGGUUUUCAUAACAAAGGUCUUAUAUAAUUCAACAUAUAUGUAUAUCAAAGGUGUAUCAACAUGCGAUUAAAUACAAUGAUUAUCCAAGUGGGGACACUUGUAUAAUCAUUUAUAGAAAUUAACGAACAGAAUAUAUUUAUCCGAAUUAUCAUAUACUAACAUGUUGAUAAUCAAUGGGCUUAUAUAAUAUAGCUUUAACAAUCUGUACAUUAAUAAUAAUAAUAUAAUUUUGAAACAUUCUUACACUUGUCCAUUGCAUAAAGAAAAUGCAAAGUUAGGAUACUUGCCUGAUGCGCUGCUUACACUUACGCAACUUAGAUUUAUCUUUUCUAUCACGACCUAUCAUUAAUCAAAUCAUUUUACUGAUUAGUAUAUCAUAACGUAACACAUAACACUGCCUAUUGCAGUCAGCACAUAACCUAAUCACCUUAUCACACAUGUUCAACAAUCAUGGUUUCACAAACAAACAUCAACACAUUCCUAAUCGCAUUGUUACAUAACCUUAACCACCAUUGAAUCACAAAUAAACAGUUAACUAACUAAAUUAUCUAUGUCCAGAUCAAUUUCUGAACCAUGCCGGUCUAUCGACAACUUUAUCGGGUACUAAUAGAGUCUAAGACUCUAUACAGUAGUUCAAUAUUCAUUUGGAUAACUUAAACAUCAAUUGCACUAUCUUUCAUGGCUUUAUAAUAAUUUUUAAAUAAUUAUUAUCAUUUAUCAUAAUUUAUCACAAAUUUUCAAACACCGGAAUCAUUAUAAAAUGAUUUAAAUAUCAAAUAAUUCUAUUAUCAUUAAUAUUUAAUUAAUAUUAAACUAUUAAUGAAACCAUUGCCAAAAUAUUAAAGUUAUUUAUAAUAACUGAAAAUAUUUUUAAAGUAUUUAUAUUACCCUUAAAUGAUUUUUAAAACAUUUAAAAUCAUUAUUAAAUAAUUACCAUUAAUAUUUAAAUAUUAAUGAACUAUUUAUCCAAAUAUUAAAAGUCAUUAAUUAUAACUUAAAAUAUUUUUAAUUCAUUUUUAUCCCUUUUUAAAUGAUUUUUAAAUUAAUAAAACCAUUUUAAAACUAUUUAUUUAAUAUAAUUAUUAAAUAAAUUUAAUAUCAUUAAUCAUUAAAUAAAUAUCAUUAAUAUUAAUUUAUUAAUGAAAUUAUCCUUUAAAUAUUAAAAGUUAUAUUUUAUAACUUAAAAUAUCUUUAAACAUUUUAUCUUCAUUUAAAAUGAUUAUUAAAAUAUUAAAAUCAUUUUUAAACUAAAUUAUUUAAUACAAAUAUUAAAUAACUUUAAUAUCAUUAUUAAUCAUUAAUUAAUGAAAUUAACCAUUAAAUAUUAAAAGUUAUAUUUUAUAACUUAAAAUAUUUUUAAAUACUUUAUUUUCAUUUAAAAAUGAUUUUUAAAUCAUUAAAAUCAUUUUUAUCUUAUUUAUUUAAUUUAAUAAUCAAAUAAAUCUAAUAUCAUUAAUAUUAAUUUAUUAAUGAAAAUUAUCACAAAAUAUUAAAAGUUACCAAAAAUAACUCAAAAUAUUUUCUAACACAAUAAUAUAAUUUUUCAUGAUUUUUCAUGAAUUAAAACUAUUUUUAAAUAAUUUAUCUAAUAUUGUAAUUAAAUAAAUUAAAUACUUCUUACAUUCCAAAAAUAUUAAAUAUUUUCGAAAUAUGCCCAAAAUAAUUAAAAACUAUUUUUCAGACUUUAAAAUAAUUUUUCAGAAUUUAUUUCGUAUUUAUAAUAAUUAAAAUCUAAUUUUUUCUAAUUUUUAAUCAUUUUCGGAAAAUACAGAAAUUAAAAAUAAUACAAAACCGUCGCUAUAGGGUUUAGGCGACAGAAACCGUCGCUAAUGGUGUUCUUCACCAACCCAGAUUUCAUAAGGCAGUGAUCGAGAGGGCUACUUUGACCGAGUAUAACUCUCUCAUCCGAACGAAUUUGGACAAUCUAUAAAUUGAGUCUUGUAGUGCUCAUGUAAGACUAUAAUUACCAACAACAAUCAUGGCUUAACAACAUCAGAUCUGGGAGAUAUUGGCCAUCAAAAUAGCUGUCAGAGCUGUUCUUCACAAAGAACAGUUCGAGGUGCCUACUUUGGACCUCUAUAACUUGCAAUCCAUGUAAUGUUUGUGUGAUCUAUCAAUUCCAGUGUGUAGAACUCAUGUAGGACUACAACUAUAAUACAUAAUAUACAUAUAACAACAACAUAUCUAACUGGAAAUAUCCGGUCAAAGUUCACCACGGAAAUUGUUCAUAAAAUUCUGGGUUCGUGUUCUUGAGCAGUUUCGGUCAACGGGUUUUGACCAUGAAUAACUCUUGAUAUAUAACAGAUAUGAACUUGAUUCUUUUUGUACCUUAAAGAGCAUAUUACAUACUACAUAUAACAACUUACAAACACCAAAAAGACUAAAUAAUCACAGAGAUAUAAGGCCUGACAUUUGCCUAAAAAUAACAGAUUUCGUUUUUUUUAAAAGUUGGAAAAACUUUGAUUUUGAGCACUUUGAUGUUAUGGGUCAUGAAUCUAACAACCCAGAACAUUAAUACACUCCUUAUUACACAUAUUUAACAAAUCAAUUUCAACAAUUAACAUCAAAUCAAAGGAUUUCGAAAAUUAGGGUUUUUAUACCUUUAUGCCUUGAUUUUUGAUUUUUGCUCUCCAAGUUGUUUGUGAUUGGAUUAUGGAGGAUGUGGGGCUUGAUAAAGGGACUGAUUUAGCAACAAAUUUCGUUGGUUUGAGAGAAAAUGAGAGUUGGUUGAGUAUUGAAUAAAAUUGGCUAACAAAAUCACUUUUUCUCUCUCUCAAUCCUUAUAUAGACAACAUGGAUGCAUGUAUUGGCUGAGAUUAGUAGCUUGUUGCUGUCAUUAGAAGUCAAGAGAGUUGUUGGAGUUAGUAUGAGUUGGUUAACAACUCAACCUAAAUGUCAAAACCUAAUAUUUAGCCUAAAUAAUACAACUAGGGGUAUAAUGGUCAUUUAGUUUGUAAUUUUAAGGGCAACCAUGUAAUCCUUGUAAACCCUUAGGGUUUAGGGUUUGAGCCAAGUUAGCAAAAUUCUAGGAUUUCCAAAAUUAGGAUUUAGCAACUAG